GAUCGUUGUCGCCGCGUCUUCUGUGGAACCCAAGCAGUGCCGAAGGAAGUCGCAAGGCUCUUCCCCGACCUUUUGCUCCUCUCCCUGCGCGAGAGAUCUAGGCUUACAUUGCUGUUAAGCCUCCAACAGCGGCAGCCAGAUGGUGCAGUGUUUUUGAAACAGGCUCUGAUAAAUCCACAAAGAGCUGACCUUCCAUGCUGUGAGGACCUACUUCAGACCAUCUCCUGCCUCAGUUUGUCUCCUCAGGACUAGAGUGAAGUUCUCCUGUACUGCUUUUUUUACAGGCUUGUCUUCCUAUUCAUCUGUCUUCCAGCAGCCCCCUGUCUGGGACUCUUUGGAAUAAGUCAGUUGCCCCAGGACUUCUUUAAAGUGUCAGUGUAACACCCAGACUACCACAACUACUCCUGCUGCUUAGUUUGGUCUCUGUGAGGAUCCUAUAAUUGUCCAAACCAGAUAUUUUGCCAAGCCAGUCUGUCCUGCUGGGUGAGUCUCCUUGCAGUGAUCUAUCACCUGAUUCGGGAUCCACCCUCUUCCCAGGGCCGGCGCUGUGAAAAUGUUGAUGAUGGCAGUAAUUAAUGCUAAUUAAGAGCUUUGUCAAGAA
rnacentral:lncRNA from 1 species